rnacentral:lncRNA from 1 species
AACAAGCUGAAAUUUAACCAGUUUAGUCAAGAUUUUGCCUGACCCUCUCAACGCUGACGACUGCCACUGUUCACAGGUCAGUUCAUCCCACUGCCCUCUUCUCUCGAAAGACAUUUACCUGCCCACAUGACUGUGCAGCUGCAUUUCUCAGCACGCCAACAAGACACGGAGGAGACUCUACUGAUACCGGGGUUUUCACCUUUAUUGGUACAGGAUAGUGGAUAUUUUACGGACAGGAAGGUGUGGAGAGCAGAGAUAGGACUUGAACAACUAAAUGAAUGCAACACAAGGCCAUGUUGGUCUUCCAGAAUGAUGUUCAGGUUUCAUUCAUCUGUGUAUAGGAACAGCUGAUGGUGGCCACAGCAAUGACAAUUGGCAGAGGAUCGCGAGUUCAGAAACGCAUUUAAAUCGGUAAAGGAAGAAGCACACAUGACGUUUUUAAUGUGGUUUUGGACGCAAUAUGUCAACAGCUCCAUAAAGAUUUAAUCUGAGAGAUCUA